rnacentral:rRNA from 1 species
AACGAGCGCUGGCGGCGUGCCUAACACAUGCAAGUCGGACGAGAAAGUUUCCUUCGGGAAGCGAGUAAAGUGGCGCACGGGUGAGUAACACGUAGACAACCUGCCUUCCAGUCCGGGACAACCUUUCGAAAGAAGGGCUAAUACCGGAUAACACUUUGGGCCGCAUGGCCUGGGGUUGAAAGACUUAUCGCUGGAAGAGGGGUCUGCGGGACAUUAGCUAGUU